rnacentral:miRNA from 1 species
CAAAUAGGGUUGGCUGAUACU